AUCAUCAUCAUCAUUUCCAGUAGCCAUUUCUUAUUUUUCUUUUAGACCACAAGUCCAUUUUUGUCCAGAAUGAAGAGAGAGGGUAGGCAGCAUGGGUUGGUCAGGACCUACAGGAUCUUGCCUUCUCCAUGGAACCCCAAGCCCAACUCCAGGUUCAUCAACAGUUUUGACUCUCCCCCUACUGCUGGAUUGUUCUCCAAGGUCCACCCUCGACCCACCAACCACUCCAAGUUCACCAGCAAGUGCGCCAGGCCUCGCUGCAAUGGUUGUCAUAUGCAUCCUUGUUACAAGUCCAAGGAUAAGACCAAAGGUACCCAGAAGCUCAAGUCCCUUGACGUUGCUUCAAACUAUAGAUUGAUCAAUGGGCGGUUGGUGAAUAGUGGUCCUGGCUUGAAAUUUUCUGGGUUUUCUGCCUCUGGGAUUUUGGAUCAUUUGACUAAUAUUGAAGAUGACUAUGUAGACGAUGAAAUUGGCGGAGACUUGGAGAAUUCGAUUUUGAGCUCACAAGAGAAGGAGGCAGCGCAUGAGAUUGAAGAAAUCACUGCUGCUAAUGUUGAUGAUGACGAGAACAGAGAUGAUGUUAAUGGGUUGGUUGAUGAUGAUGAUGACGAGAAUAGAGAUGGUGAUAAUGGGUUAGAUGAUGAUGAUGCGAUGAGUUUUUGCGAUCUGAGUUACGUGCUGGAUCAAGUUGAGGAAGAUGAAGGUUGGUGUCUGGUGGCAGAAAUGUAAGUUAAUUGUAUUUAUGGCUAAUUAUAUAUUUAUGUAAUAUUUGGAGGAUGAUUUUUUAAAUGCUUCCUCACAUAUCACAAGAAUGUUUAUUAAAUUAAAAAUAAAUAAUGUAUUUUGUGUGUUUGAUUCAGUUGGGUACUUGGUUAAUAGAAGCUUAGAAAUAACUUUGUUCAA
rnacentral:misc_RNA from 1 species